rnacentral:rRNA from 1 species
ACGUACACUCCUGCGGGAGGCAGCAGUGGGGAAUAUUGGACAAUGGGCGCAAGCCUGAUCCAGCCAUGCCGCGUGAGUGAUGAAGGCCCUAGGGUUGUAAAGCUCUUUCACCGGUGAAGAUAAUGACGGUAACCGGAGAAGAAGCCCCGGCUAACUUCGUGCCAGCAGCCGCGGUAAUACGAAGGGGGCUAGCGUUGUUCGGAUUUACUGGGCGUAAAGCGCACGUAGGCGGACUAUUAAGUCAGGGGUGAAAUCCCGGGGCUCAACCCCGGAACUGCCUUUGAUACUGGUAGUCUUGAGUUCGAGAGAGGUGAGUGGAAUUCCGAGUGUAGAGGUGAAAUUCGUAGAUAUUCGGAGGAACACCAGUGGCGAAGGCGGCUCACUGGCUCGAUACUGACGCUGAGGUGCGAAAGCGUGGGGAGCAAACAGGAUUAGAUACCCCUGUAGUCCCAU